GACGAACGCUGGCGGCGUGCUUAACACAUGCAAGUGGAGCGACGAACCAGGCUUCGGCCUGGGGCAGAGCCGCGAACGGGUGAGUAACACGUGGGUAACCUGCCUCGAUGACCGGGACAACCCGGGGAAACCCGGGCUAAUACCGGAUGUGCUGCCUUCACAUCAGUGGAGACAGGAAAGGAAGCUUCGGCCUCCGCAUCGAGAUGGGCCCGCGGCCCAUUAGCUUGUUGGUGAGGAAUGGCUCACCAAGGCCGCGAUGGGUAGCUGGUCUGAGAGGACGAUCAGCCACACUGGGACUGAGACACGGCCCAGACUCCUACGGGAGGCAGCAGUGGGGAAUCUUGCGCAAUGCGCGAAAGCGUGACGCAGCAACGCCGCGUGGGGGAAGAAGGCC
rnacentral:rRNA from 1 species